GUCAUGCAUUCUCGAUGCGAAGGUUCAUAGAAGCCUUUGUGGAAAACGAGGGAUUUGAAGCAAUGAAAAUACCAUCUUCUGAAUGGAGUAGGAGAGUGUUGUGGUUAUACAGACAACUCCUUAAACAAGGAAAGACUCUGCAGUACACAGAAUAUGAUUUCUUCCGGCGGAUAAUCCGGCGUGAGUUUGAUCAACACAGAGAUGAAGUUGAGACGAGAAGGAUCAAGGAACAAUAUGAGAAGGGAACCUACUUUUUGCAGUCAAGGCUGGCAGGACUUGAAUGAAGGAAGUGUUCCCUUGAGGUCAUUAUGGAUGUACAGUCUCUCGUUCUGAAGAACAAAUGACUGCUAAUCAGAUUCAUCAGACAUGAUGUGAACGUGGUGUUAUAACUGGAUUAAUGAGUUGUGGAUAAACUAUAAACAAAACUUGAGAGCUUACCAACCAGUGUACAAGUACAGUAAAAGUGAUGAAAGGCAUUUUCAUGCUCAAUAUGAAAGACAGAAUUUAUACUCAAGGAUGUGACUGCUGCUGUCAACAAUAGUAAUCAGAAAAAUAGUUUGGGUUAAAAAAAAGAAAAAGAAAGAAACUUGAAUGCACUUUCAGGCAGGUCAAAUGCAUCUAUGGGAUCUCACUGAACUGAAAAUAACAUGGCAUAGUAUGGUGGAGCUGCCUCAUCAGUUUAUUUCUUCAUGUUUUUGGUGUAUAUUUGUGUCUCAAUAGUAGAUCAUUUUUUUCAUCUUCGAAGUAGUGUUCAUUGUCAGCUCUGACUACAGCUGGUACGUCAUGAAAGGUCGUGCAAUGCUUUUUUUUUCGCCUUUUAACUAUCUCAUCUACUAGUUUCUUUUUGUAAAUCUUCCAGUUUCUGUCCUCGAUGUAAAACUUGAAUGCUUCCCUCUGUGUCAUGAAUGCCUCACUUAGGUUUUGUUUUACAAUUUCUAAAGCUUUUCCUCGAUCUCUCUUGAGAAACAUGAGCCGACUUACUACCAGACAGUGAACCUGUGUAAAAUAAAAAGAUUGCAAUUGAGAAUA